GUUAAUCAGCAUUCCGUGUCCUCCAGCCGAAGUAGGAGUGAGACGUUGAAACCGAAGGUGUGAAUUCCAGCGCUGAUAUCAGUCGAACAUCUCAGCGAUCCUUUCAUCAUUACAAUACUGAAGGACAACCAGAACUACAACAGGAUGAAUGAAUUUGAGUUUAAACUGAUUUCUUCAGGAUAUGAGAACAUAAGGCAAUUUGCAUCAUGACAGGGAAAAUGCUAAGCAAUUGUGCUAUCCUAGAACCAGAAGGAACAGAGGAAAAGGUAGCAAUAUUUAACUUAUUGAAGUCCAUUGAGAUUGUGAAGCAAUAUAGGAGAAAUGAAAAUAAAGAACUCUGCCACAGGCUGUCAAAAAUGACUUUUUUUUUUGAAAAGGCAAACAGCCUUCUUGCUUCUGAUUGCUGUACUGUGUCGGCAGGCAGGAGACAGUGCUUAGAGCAUUCAUUGUCUCCUACUGUUCACAUGUAUGUUCUGAACAGUAGGAAACUCACUCAUUUCCAAUGCACACUUUAUGGUAAAAAGAGGAUUUUGCUCCAUUUUUGUAUUCUUACUCCCAUAAUUUCCUUUCUUAUGAUUUGAAAAAUGUCUAAGCAAAUGUUAGCAAAGGGAUGUUAGUUUUUGUAGUGCAGAUAAAAAGAGAACAGUUUAAAUGGAAAUCAUUGUAGCUCUUCAGCUCACUUUCUUCCCAUUAUAAAACAUGGAAUUGGAAAAAAAUCUUCAGAGAUGAUGGAACACAAAAUAACCAAAGGAACAAAGAGGAAUGAAUGUGCACAGUAUCAGCAGCCCUGAUGCUUCAGAUCUGCAAAUUAACAGCUGUAUUAUGCAUGAAUUAUCAGCACAGCAAGUAAAAUAAACUGCUGAUUACUAUCUCA
rnacentral:lncRNA from 1 species